rnacentral:rRNA from 1 species
GACGUUACCGACAGAAUAAGCACCGGCUAACUCUGUGCCAGCAGCCGCGGUAAUACAGAGUGACAUUNCCCCCUUNAUAAGCACCGCGCUAACUCUGUGCCAGCAGCCGCGGUUAUANAGAGGGUGCAAGCGUUAAUCGGAAUUACUGGGCGUAAAGCGCGCGUAGGUGGUUCGUUAAGUUGGAUGUGAAAUCCCCGGGCUCAACCUGGGAACUGCAUUCAAAACUGUCGAGCUAGAGUAUGGNAGAGGGUGGUGGAAUUUCCUGUGUAGCGGUGAAAUGCGUAGAUAUAGGAAGGAACACCAGUGGCGAAGGCGACCACCUGGACUGAUACUGACACUGAGGUGCGAAAGCGUGGGGAGCAAACNGGAUUAGAUACCCUGGUAGNCCACGCCGUAAACGAUGUCNACUAGCCNUUGGGAGCCUUGAGCUCUUAGUGGCGCANCUAACNCAUUAAGUUG